GCCGGUAUAGCUCAGCUGGAAGAGCGUCUCCAUGGUAAGGAGAAGGCCCACGGUUCGAGUCCGUGUACCGGCU
rnacentral:tRNA from 1 species